rnacentral:lncRNA from 1 species
UUCUUCAAAAAUUCGAAUGUCCAUCAUUUUGAGGAUUUAUAUAAAAAAUUUGUAAUCAAACCACAUCAAAUACCAACUAUACUAGUUCAUAUUCUUGUCUAUACCAAAGCAAUCCAAGAUCUAGAGAUUUGAAAGAAAGCUCCAUUCAAUAACAAUAAUCUAAGGAGACAUGCAAAUAAACUGAAUCUUUUAGAAUCAAUCCUCCACAAUAACAACCACCUUCAUCAAUAUGAGUAAUAAAUCAUACAAUAAGUUCAAGCACCACAAUAAUCUCU